rnacentral:rRNA from 1 species
UACGUAGGGUGCGAGCGUUGUCCGGAAUUACUGGGCGUAAAGAGCUCGUAGGUGGUUUGUCGCGUUGUUCGUGAAAACUCACAGCUUAACUGUGGGCGUGCGGGCGAUACGGGCAGACUGGAGUACUGCAGGGGAGACUGGAAUUCCUGGUGUAGCGGUGGAAUGCGCAGAGUAUCAGGAGGAACACCGGUGGCGAAGGCGGGUCUCUGGGCAGUAACUGACGCUGAGGAGCGAAAGCGUGGG